GGGACAGCUCUGACUCUGUAAUCUGGACAGACUGACUUUGAGCUCAGAUUGGGAGAAAACGCCACUUUGGGAGGAUGUUUCAAGACCUCUUAUGAACUCUGGCUCCUUCUCCAGACUGACCACAAAUCCAAGAGCAGAGUGAAGAUGAUGCCAUCUUUCCACUACCUCUUUCUGACUUGCCCACCAC
rnacentral:lncRNA from 1 species